GAAAAACUAGGAUGUCUUUUAUAAAAAUAGGCCUGUUCUAAUGUCAAUUUUCUGCCUGAAUAAAAGUGAAUGAAUAUUAAACAUUGCUGCGGGCAGUCUUGUCAUUGGAGUUAAAGAUUCUCUGCUAUAAUAAAUAAUUUUGUAAAAACAUAAAUUUUGUCCAAGCAAUGAUAAGCCCAAUUCUUUUUUUUCUUUCGGCAAAUGUAUUUUCAGUCCAGGGUACAUGCAUUUGCAGUGUAAUGUGUGAACAUGAAACGUUGGUUUUAGAAUAAGGCUCAUCUAUUUUGCAAAAGCAGCACAGCCACCUACCUGUUAAAAAGUGGUCUGGUGGCUAAAUGGGGAAGGGAUGACUCUUCCUUGUGGGAAGAUGGCAUAUGUCUUCCGGAGAAAGUGAGUCACAUUCAGCACCGUGAAAUUGGUGCUCACUGGAGUAGUGGAUUAGGCCCGUGCAGCAGUGCCAUGCGUCCUGCAAGAGGGCUCUGCACCCCGCUCAGCUGACUGGGUUUCCAGUGCGCAGCCGGCUGCUACUUGCCAGCCGUGUGGCCUCUGGCGAUUUAUUUAUGCUCUCACUGCUGUGGACCACGACAGGGAAGGAUCAGACUAGGGUCCUAACUGCUUCACCUAAUACACUGGCGCAUCUCCAUGGGUUGUGAGGAUUAUCCCCUUGGACACUGAGAUUAAUGUCUUCCAUCCAUGAACAAAACUCUUUCUGCAGCAAGAAAUAUUGAAUAUGGGGUGAGUGAGACAACCCUAUAAUCGACACGUUUAUAUGAACAGUGAGUCUGUCUUGGGAAUUUGAGAAGUUAAUAUAUUUUUGCUUUAAGUGAUUACGGUUUCCCUAGGAGGAUAUUUACAUGUUUCCGUGGGCCGUGUGUCUCUUGCUGCAUCAGAUAGGUGCAAUCGUGUCUUUAAAAGUCGGAGCUAAUUCUCUUUGCUAGCUUCAGAAUAAAUGCUCACUCUCACAAGCCUUAACAUUAGAUAGAAAUUGACACUUGAAGAUAAAAUAGGCCUUUAAAAGCUAUCAUUGUAUUUGGCUAGCAUCUGUUUGUCAUAUCCUAAAUAAACACGGGUACAUAAAAGAGUCAUCCAGUGAUGUGAAUCCUCAGGGCAGAGGGUUCCUGGACACAGUGAAGUCUUGAUGUGCAGCUACAUAAAGGCACUGGUUUUCCACUGCUUCCUGUCAAGCUCCCGUGGAGCCUCGGUGGGAGCCAGAUUACCGGCCACAUGGUGCAGCUGUGCCGACGGCCAGUCAGGGAAGUUAGAGGGUAACACAGGUGCACGCUGUCUGCAGAAGAGCCACACAUGUCCUCUGCUAUUUCUUCUGGUAGGAAGGCUCUAGACCAGGGAGAGCAACUUACCAUGAGACAUUGAGUCUGAUCGUGGAAAGAGAAAAUGUUGUGUAUUAAAAUAACGUGCUUUCAUUUAAUAUCAAGUUUUUAAAAACAUGAUUCUAGUUAAAUGUAGGAGUAGAAAAAAGAGGAAGUGUUCACUUUUUUAAUACACUGAUUUAGAAAUUUGAUAUCUUAUUUCAGUAGCUCUGAGGUGUUGAUAGCGUUAUUUCUGCUGACAGUGUUGAAGCAGGGUGACUAACUAGGGCAUAUUAUUUUUUUCCUAGUAAGCCAGCCAUUCAUGAUGUUUUCUUUGGAGUUUCUGGAUAAGUUCGAGAAAACAUUCUGCAUGUUAAAUCUAGUCUGAUGUACUUAUCCAUCUCAUUACAAACAAAAACAAGCAGACUACAUUUUGUGGCUCUGUAAUCCUCGAAUAUAGAAAUAAUCUUCUUUCCUGACUUUGACAUUGCAGCUCUGUUUUCAUUUUGAUUUUUACAAAUCCUUUGGGUCCAAUUCUGUGAGCCUACCUAUAGCACUGGAUUAAAUGUCUGCAUCAUUUUUUAGUUAUCCAGUUGACUUUAAAACUGUUGUAAAAGUGUAAACCAGCCCAUGAGUUUUUUGUACAUGUAAAGAACUUUAUUGUUCAGUUUUCAUGAUUAUUGUGCAAUGAAGACUGAUAUAGAUGUUCUAUGCUGUCCUUGACCAUGUUAAUUACACUUAUGAUGUAUUUUGGUUCCACAUCAUAAUGAUUUGUCCAUAAUAACCCUUUUGUCCUUUCUAGGCACAUUUUUUGUUGAUGUUGUUGUUGCAGUUUCCCUCUGCAUUGUAUUGCUUUCACAACUGAAAUUUGAAUCAGAUCUGAAAGAGGCCCAGAAUAAAAUAUAUUUCAUUAUUAUGUUGGGUGUGUACAUAGAUAAAACUUUUGAUAUCUAUGUAGUUUGUACAAACUAUUUACUAGUUAAGAGCGAAGGAGGGUACUGUUUACAAUUUCUUGUUUACAUUUUAAUUGCUUUUAUUUCUCUAAUGUUCUGUAGAAUUGUAGAAUUGUAGAAUUGUUCUGAAAAAGAAAAUGAUGUGCUCUUCAUGCUUUCUUUUUCAGGGGGAGGAGGGAGGCCACUUGUGCACCAAAAGCUUUUUUUAACUCUGCUGUCAAACAAGUGGACAGUAUGAAAUAGUAACCUUUGAACCACAGCCUUGGCUGGCUCUUCCUUCUUAACAUGAUCAGACUCUGUUCCCUCUGAUUCAUUUCUAUGAUUGUAUUCACAGACAGACUUGUGUACUAAGACAUUAAAGACUCAAUCAUUCAUUCAGUAAACAUUCGGUGCCUAUCUGUUCUCAUGUUAUAGGUUUAUUUCAAAUGCAAGGCUUUCUCGAGCCUGUAUUCUAAGGGAGACACAGAAUUAAUAAACAAGAGGGCCAGGUAGGCAGCUCAGUAGUAGAAUACUUGUGUGGCAUGCUCAAGGCCUUCGGUUCAGUCUCCAGCACUAUAAAAAAAAGUGAAAAAUGUGGAAUGUCAGAUGGCAAGAAGUGCAAUGGAGUAAAAUAAAGUCAGAAAGUACAAUAAGGUAUGCUGGGAUUAGGUGCUAUUUUAACUGGGGCAGUCAGAGAAAGCACCACUGAGUGGAUAAUAUUUGGGCAAUGAAUGAAUAGGAGAAGCAAGCAGUACAUCCACUGGAGGAAAAAUGAUGGUGGCAACAGAGGUGUUGAGCAGUGACAGGUUUUCUUGAGCUGUUUUGGAGGUGGAAAUGACAGGAUUUUUCCAGAUUGGAUGUGGGGUAUGAGUGAAAAACGAUGAGAUGACUCCAGAGUCUCUGGCUUCAACAGCUGAAGGGUGGUCUUGUCACUUCCUGGCAGGGAGAAGACUCAAAAGCAAGCUUGGAGAGGGCAGAAUUAGGAAUUCUAUUUCAGAGCUGGGAAGUCUGAGACACAUAUGCGACAUCCAGAUGUAGAAAUCAAGUGGGUAGUUGGUCAUUCAAGCCUGGAGGUCAAGGCAAGGCAUCGGUUCUAAGAUGGUUUUUUACGGCUGAGGCCAGAUGAGAGCAUGGGAUUUUCCACCAAUAUCCAUCUUCAUCUUAGAAAUUCUGCUUCAGUUGGAAUGUGGUGGGCUCCGUGCUUUGGGAUUGUUAAAAGCCUUCCCAGAUGAAUCAUAUUUGCACACAGAUUUAGUCCAUCUGACUGAGAACUGAGGAUGACUAAAGACAAGCAGAGAUCAUGCAACAGAGUGUGGAACACUAGCAUUUAGAGGUCACUUUUGAUGAGUUUCUCUGUGAAUGUGAGAAGACGGGACUUAGCUGGAUUGGGAAUUGCAAGUAAGAGCAAUUUGUUUUUAAAUGAGAAAAGUGGUGACACAUUUGUAUGCUCUCGGGUUUCGGGUUUUUGUUGCUGUUAUUUUUUGAGACAGAAUGGCCUCAAACUCACAGAGAUUCCCCUGCCUCAGCCUUUGCAGGAUUGCAGGUGUGCGCUACCACACUCAGCUAUAUGCUUGUGGAAGAAAGCCAAUGCAGGGAGAAAACGAUGUAGGAGAAAGGAAGAAUGGAUAAAAGGAUUGGAUUGGGUAGAGAAAGGAGGGCCAUGCUGUGGCUGAUUCUCCAGCUCAGACCCUGGCCGGUUGCCCCUGGUUACGGGAGGGAAGGCUUUAGAACACAGGCCAGUGCGGGGCAGGAUGGUGCUCACAUUGCGGGUGCUGGAGGGCACUGUCUAAAGACUACUCUGUCUCCUCAGGGGAGCGGGAAGCAGCGUCUUCCAUUAAGAGAGGGGUUGGGAAGGGAGAGGAGGAGGGCUGAGGAGAGAGCAGAGUAUGAGCUACAUUGCUAUGGUUUGCGUGUGGACUGUGCCCUCUAAAGUCCAUAUGUUACAAGCUUGGCCCCAGGGCGGCAUUACUGGGGAGUAGUGGGCUCUGUGAGGGUGGGGCUGGUGGGAGGUCGUAGUCCCUGGGGGUGUCCUCGGCCUCGCGGUGUCUCUGCUUCUUGGCUUGUGACCUGUGCUGUCCACCAUGGCAUCUGGCACCACACCAGAGGCCCUAAAGGAAUGGGACAGCCCCACUGGAUGGAAUCGCCAGAACUGUGAGCUCAGUACACCCUUAGUUACAUCCUUGGGUAUUUUGUAAUGGACAAACAAAGCUGGGUGUUAUGCGCUGCAUACACGUAAGGCAAAUGAAUGGGAAGGUAGAACUGGUGGGCAGUUCAAGGGCCAUGGCUUUGGUGUGACACCCGCAGCUUUGUAUGGUGUUUGCCGUCUGUGUUCAGCCGCCUGCUGCUGAGAACUAGGAGGGUCAGAGUAAACAGGGGCGGAGUUCCUGCCAGGUGAAAGACUGGAGGAGCAAUGAGCUACAGAGUUGAAGCUGUGGGCAACUCUCAGAUUAUAAUGAUCUACCUUACUGUUUAUGCUGCAUGGUAAAGUUGGGGAAACUGAGGACUCCAGAGGAGGGAUCAUGGUGAAAGGGAGGCAGGACUUGAGUGUCAGAGGCCUGGAUAGAGCCACAACUUUGCCGAAAAUGGUUCAUUACAGCACAAGAGCACUUUUAAUUAUGGUGAAAGGUAGGCAUAUUCAUUACAGAAGCCGAUUUCACUUGGAAACUACUUAAUUAAGUUUUCAUCCAUUAAAAUUACUUAAGUUAUGCAAAAAAGGACCAUAGCUUUGAACAUUAGUAUGCAGUCUUUCACUUACAAUUAUGAAAUGAAUAUAUUUGUUUAUAAUCUAAAAACAAUUAGUGAUUGCUAGAAUACAUCACAGUAAUCUGUUUCUCGUAAAGUAAUAAAUUGCCAAAGACAGAAUUAAACCAUCCUGAGCACUUUUUAAAUAUUUAUGCUUCUUUGUAACCCCAGUGGUUUGGGGAAAUGAUGACAAACAACAUAGUAUAUGUCUCUGCCUAUUUUGUAAAUCACUUUACCUUUCUAAAUUGCUGGAAAGGGAUUCACAGCAGUUAAGAAACUUUUCAAAAAAAUCUAAUUGAUAAAAUUGUGUUACAUAAGACUGAUGCUAGAGUUAUGAAAUGCUUGACUUUAAUAAAAUUUUAUCUGCUACACAUCAGAAUUGCUAAAUGCAAAAAGGGAGUUGGUCAUUCACAACUGACCUAAUGACAUUUCCCCGCCACCGGGAUGCUCUGCCUGACGCCUGGGUUCCCUGAUUGUCUUCUUAUAAAUUUUGACCUUGUCCAGUUUGUGGGAAACUGUGCUGGUGGACUGGACAUCUACAGGGGGCCCAGCAGACCAAACCAAUUUAAAAGUUGAAUCACAAUAACUGUACUGUUGCAGGAGGCCUUAUAGCCAAUUAACUAAACUAUAACCAACCUACUGGUUGAUUCACUAAGCUGUGGCCAGUUAAAUUAUUUGCUGUAUCUCACUUCCAUUUUUCUAUAAAUUCUUUCUGAUAGCACUGUUGUCCAGACUGCUCAGAAACUGCUCUGGUUCUAGAAACUAUCUGAUUCACAAAUCCUGUUUUGCUUUGUUUUGUUCUUCGUCGCUCGUAUUAAACUCUAAAUUUAAUUGCUCUAAGGAAUUUUCCUUUUAGUAGCAGCAUCAAAGUUAAAGUUUUGAAUAAAUUAAGAACAGUGAAGACAUGGUUGGUAGGUUUAGUGAGCUCCUGGUCAGAAAGAGAGGAAUCCACUUUUUCAUGUAUUGUUCAACUUGGCAAGCGCGUGGCUUCAGAAAAAGAUGGAGUCUUUCAUGCCUGCCAUCUUUGUCUGUAUGACUAGCACCUGGGUGAGAUCAUGCUAAAACCACUCACUAUUGCUCCCAUGGUACUAAAGCCACACCCACAGACUGGAAGUUUCGUCUGCCAGCUGUUCUUAGUGUGGAGCUCAGCUGACCCCCUUUAGCAGCUCUGGGUUCAGUUAUGCUGACCUCAAUUUCUGAAUUUCUGUUGAUCCCCUGCCUAGUGGAAGGCCUUUGACAAGAGCAGUAGGGUACAUAUCUGCAUGUAGCAAAUUCCUGUUUGAAUUACGGUAAAACAAACCUACAGGUUGUUCUCUAUUUUUGCACAUAAAGUGCUCUUGAAAAUGUAAAAAAUCAAAUGCAGGAAAAUUGAAAAAUAGACUUAAAUAUUCUAAGAUAUUUCUAUUUCCAUGGAGAAAAACAUUAAAUCCCCAAUGGCAUUUCACCUAUAGUCUUCAGUGAAGUAGUUUUAGUAUUCAGGAUGCGUUCUUCACUCAUAAUUAGACAUGCUGUUGCCAAGGCAGAUUCGGGUGAAGCUAGAGACAUACUGUUUCGUAAAACACUCUAAGGUCCUUUUCAGGAGGAUCAGAGUUUCCAUUUCUCUGUUCUUACCUACAUAAUGUAUUCCACAGAAAAUACUAAUCACGUUCACAUGCUCAUGGUGUACCGUGGUGGACAGGUGAAGCUAGUGAUCCCAUGAACCCAAGCCCUCGAACUGCAGAUACCACCAUUGCCUGACGAUGGUAGUGUGGGAGAUUGGUGUCAGUGGUUAUGAGAAAACAAGACAGAAUCGCCCCCAGGAGGGAGUACCUGCACGCUUUCUGAAGGAGAGCCUCUGAGUGAAGGAAGGAGAAGGUAGACGGGGAGCCAGGACCCCGUGGCCGAUGGGGGAUGGUGCAAGAGUUUUCACAUUCACUGAGCAGUGCUUGGAAGCGUGGCUCAGUCCCCUACACGUGAGUUAGGGUUUGUUUGGCAUGGCACGUGCUAACAAUUGGUACCUUUUUAUUGGUCUAUGUUUAUCUGUGGAUUGUUCAGUUGCUUUUUACAAUUGGGAAACCACAUGUCCCAAUAAUUAAACAGAAAAAAAAGCUGAAAUCUAUAUCCACCACUCACGGCCCCCAAUGACUGGCCUGUCCUCGGUGUUAUCCCAGCAGUAUUCCUCAUGCUACAUGUUGAUUACUGGAACGUCUGCUACUUUUAUUGGGUGUUAAGCAUUUUUUAUUCCCUACUGGGACUGAGCCCAGGGCUUUAUACCAAGCCAUAUUCCUAGGCCUGCUUUUUAUUUUGAGAUAAGGUCUCAUUAAACUAGUUGCCCAAGCUGGGCUUGAACUGCACUCCCCCUGCCUCAUCCUCCAGAGUGCUGAGAUUACAGAUGGGCACCACUAUGCCUGGCCUAAGCAUAUUUAUAAGUACUGCUCUUUGUGAGGCAUCAUAGGGGAUGAAAAACACAUGAUUCCUUGUAAAAAUGGAUCACAGUGUGGAAAAAGAUGUGGCCAAAGCCAUAAUUAACCAAUUAACUGGGAAAUAGUUCAUAUAAUCUUGAGAAGAGAUGAGACAAAGUGAUUGUUAAUUACGGUGGGGGAGUUUACAUUUUUAUGAUGAACAUCACUAGCAGGAUAAGCCAUAUUCCUCUUUUACCUAGAAUGCUUUGCAUUAUAGUAACUGCUACUUCAGGUCAUGCUGCAUUUUAAAAAAUCAAAGAAUUAAAGGCAACUACAGAUAUAUUGAGUUAUGAUCAUUUCAAGAGCCAACCAAAUUAAUACAGCCAUGCACUGCAUGAAGCUGUUUCCAUUAUGAGUGGAUUCCUUGUAUGACAAUACUCCAGAAGAUUGUAAAGGGGCCAAAGAAGAGCUAUUGCUUCAGGAGGUUGUAGUGACCCCAGCAUCAGUGCCAUGCACUAUUCACGUGUUUGUGGUGACGCUGGUGUAAACAAACCUGCUCUGCUGCAGAUGUGUAAAAGUGUAGCAAAUCAAUUAUGUACCAGUCCAUACACCCUACUUUCUAUUGCUGUUUUAGAGUGGACUCCUUCUGUAUGUAGAACAGUGCACUGUAAAACAGUAUGCCCCGUUUCACCAGUGGCAUUCUCAAAUAGCUUGUGUUUACCAUGCCUCUCCAUCACUUUAGCAGACCAUGUGGCGAGAAUGACUGAGACCAACUUGAAGCUUGUGGAAGUAAGCCCUGCACGCCUUAUGAUCUUUGCCCAGAAGCAAAAUCACCUAAUGCUCCAACUCUCACAGUGCAUCUUGGUUGUUAAGUGAUGCAUGACUAUAUUACCCUUCACUGAAAUUGUAUUUCCUUGGAGGAAAGCUAUGACAAUACACUGGUCAGAAACUUAAAAACUGACUUCCAGAUCCAGCCAGUGUCCUGACUCACUCUUGAUCUGAAACAUAUAACCUAAAGGAAGGACAGGAGGCCAGUUAUGACCCAGGCUUUUAGCUUUCAAAAUUUAAAUUAUGUAGGACAAAAGGUGGAAUAUAAGUGAACUGUUUGGGCCCUUACUAUAAAAACUAAAUUUUUAAAAGUCUUUGGCAUUUGAGUGUUGGGUGCUGUGUACAAAAGAAAAACAUCCAUAGACUUUUUAAAAAUUGACUAUUUUUUUUGGAGCAGUUUUAGGCUCAGAGCAAAAUUGAGCAGCAAGUAGAGAUUUCUCACAUAGUUUCUUUCCUUCCAUGUAUGCAUAGCUUCCCCUGCCACCAAAAUGCAGUAUGUCUUUUCUACAAUCUGCGAUCGUAUAUUAACACAUUACCACCAGGGCCCACAGUUCACUUAGGACUUGCUCUUGGUAUUGUACCUCCUGAGAGUUUGGCAAAUGUGUGAUACUGUGUCCAGCACUGUAAUGUCACACAAAGCACUUUCCAUUUUCUAAAAUUCCUCAGUGCUCUUCUUCCAUCUUAUUCAACCCUGGCAACCAUAGAUUUUUUUUACUGUCUCCAUAGUUUUGCUGUUUACAGAAUGUUAGUUGGAGCUGUAUAGAAUAUAGCUUUUUCAGAUUGGCUUCUUUCACUUAUAUUGUAAGUUUCCUGCAUGUCUUUUCAUUUUUUCUUAAUAUUCAAUAAUAUUCCAUUGCCUGAAUAUAUCAUAGGUUAUCCAUUUACCUACUGAAAGAUAUCUCAGUUGCUCCUAAGUCUUGGCUAUUGUAAAUAGAGCUGCUGUAAACAUCCCAGUGCAGGUUUUUGUGUGGACAUAAGCUUUCCACCUCUUUGGGUAAAUACCAAGGAGUGGAUUUGCCAGAUCAUAGGUAAGAGUGUAUUUAGUUUGAUAAGCAGCAGGCAAGCUGUCAUCUAAAAUACCCAUACCAUUUUGCAUUACCACCAGUAAUGCAGGAGAGACCCUAUUUGCCUACAUCCUCACGAGCAUUUGGUGGUGCUGGUAUUUAGGAUUUGGGCUAUAUGAGUAGGUGUAUAGUGGUAGCUCUUUGUUGUUUUAAUGUGCACUUCUCUGAUGACAGAUGAUGUGGUUGGUAUAUUUUUCACGUGUUCUCGAUUAUGCUAAAGCUUGGAAGUAUGCUCUGUGGAUCCCCAGAGAUGUCUGACUGAGGAAACCUGCCAACAAGAGGCAAGAGAAGUGGCUUACCGUCUUUGUGGCUGACCUGGCCCUUCUCAGAGCAGCAAGUGGGCAGAUCAUAGCCUUAGUCCAUAUCCUCUUCAUCUUUUACACCAAUUUAGCCAGGAAUACACUGUCAGCCCAGUAAUCUCAAGAGCAAAAUUAUUUCCAAAGGUAGAGCGGCCUUUCUCCCAUCAGUAGCCAGGGAAGAAUAAAACUCAGCCACCCAUGUUGCCUCUCUAAUUAUCUUAUCACAGGCACUGAGAGAGUAGGAGAAUGAGGAGAGUUAUUCCUGCAGAUCUGCCCUUCAUCACAGGUGUCGGUUUGUUCUCAGCAGCUGGAGUAGUAGCAUCCUGUUCUUGGCCUCUGCACUGCCUGCUGCUCCCCCAGGACUCCAGCAGUCAUGAGACUGCGGUUAGCCACUCACUCCAGCACCGAGGCUCUGAGGCUCGGUGCAUUGCCUGCGAGUUUAACUUGAAGCAGAAUCAUCCCUACCUACCGCCUCUCCUGCUUUCCCGUCUGUCUGACCUCAGCACUCUGUUCUCUCCUAGUGGCUUACAUUGCUGUUUUUAGGGGGAAAGCAUUCCCACUCCCUCCAGCCAGAGGAACUAAGUCCUCUUUGAGUUUUAUAGUUCAUAGUGCACUUUUAAAUAUUUUUAAAAAUUGGACAUAUUUAAGGUGAUGUUUUGAUAUAUAUGUAUAUCUGUAUAGUGAAAUGAUUACCAUGGCAAAGCGAACAUCUCUCUCUCCUCACCUAAUUACUGUGUGUGCACGCACGCAGUGAGAACACUUAGCAUUGGCUCUCUUAGCUCAUUUUGAUUGGACAAUGCUGUGUUAUUAACCAUGAGUAGCAUGCUGUUCAUUGGAUCUCUAGAACGAUUCAUCUGCAUAACUGAAACGUUCUACCCUUUAGCCAUCAUCUCUCCAUACUGCACCUAAGCUGGAAUCUUGGGGUAGGGAUGGUGACAGGAGAGAGGGACUCCACCCAGAGAGCUGCAGAAGGAAACCACGGAGGGGGCAGACAGGAAGGACAAAUGCGCCCUUCUCCAGCUCAUUUAUAGAUGGGACCUCCAUGUGUCCAGGAAGAGCAUCCCACUCAUCUCUGUAUCUUCAGUUUGUGACGCUGAGGGGGUGCUUGGUAAAUGUUUGUGGAGCUGGACAGAACAGAGCCACACACGGCUGAGCCAUGGAUACGUGGCCGUCAGCUAGUGACUGACUAUAACUAGUGAUAGGAAGAGCACAGAAAUGAGGCGUCCACCCCGCUUUUAUUCCCAGCUCUCUCUCUGCUGCACCCAUUUGAAAUUGUGUUUAUAUGACUCGAUCAGUUCUAAAUUGAUCUCAGACCGUUGACAUAGGAACAGUUGUAUCCAUGUUCAGUGACUAAUUUGUGGAACCAAAGGUGCCGAAAUGAAACAUUUAUUUCUCCAAAUUACUUCCUCAGUGGAAAGUGCCAUUUGUGCUUUGAAAUGCACUUGCAUAUAUUUCUGAUUCACUCCAGUGUGAUGGUGUGGGUGAAGUUUUCAGUGCUUGAUGGCGUUGGAGUCUCCACCUGGUAGUAGAUAAAUCAUUAUCCUGAUGUUAGCUUUUGCUCUCCAUCCGCCUAUUCUUUUUACUGCUGCUGCCGCUACAAUAGGGGGCACUCUAGUGGCCUUGCUUUCUUGAUUUCCUUAUUGUUCACUUUGUGAAUGAUAAAAUGGAAAGAAUUUCCUUUUCCUAAAAAUGCUUUCCUUAAAAGAAAGUCUGGAGUCUCAUGUUCAUUCAGAGGGAUUGUCCCCUGUGUGCUUCUAUGCCUGACCCGACCGGUCAGUUGCUUUUCAGCAAAAGCUGUCCUGAAAGAUGAGAGCUCUCUAUUAGGUGUAAUUAGGAAAAGCAAUAGCCAAAUUAGCUGAGCAGUCAGAGCAGCUGGGAGGCUCUUUCUGAGGAGGGGAUGACAGAGAGGAACCUGCUGAGCUUGGAAAAAGCAUUUCCUUUUUUAAAUGCACACUAGGGUGCAGCAGAGAGAGAAACUGUGUGUUCUCAGAGGUUAAUGCUCUCAGCCAAACAACUGACUUAAUCAAGGGUGGCCGAAUGGGCCAAACACAAAAGGUUCAGAUGAUAAUCUUUAUUAUAUUUUAAAUAGAUUUCUUUCCCCCUAAAAAUGGAUUUGAUAAAUUAGUAGUUGUUCAGGCUGUAGGAGUUAGGAACUCUAUUCUCUUUUUAACUUUUAGAGGAUAGGUGCAGUUAAAAUGUUAAUUACUGCAGAUUUUGGAAUCAAAUUCUCCGACUGCCCUACCAGUAGAGAAUACAUUUUCACCUGCCUUAUUCUGUAAGUUAAUCGAUAAUGUAGGAGAUUCAAGACUCUUUUUAGUAAAAAUAUCUUCCCAUUAGAUUAUUUGGAGCUAUACAGGGGUCCCUUGUCACCUGCACAGGAUUGGUUCCAGGACCUCUGCUGUCACUGAACUCUGAGUGUGCUCUGUCCCUUGUGUAAGAUGGCACAGUGUAUGCAUGCAACCUUUGUGUCACCUCUAGAAUGACACCUCACACGGUGUAAAUGCUGUGGCAGUUGUUACUCUAUCGUUUAGAGAGUAAUACAAGAGAAAGUUCUUAUGUUCAGUACAGACUCAAUUUUUUUCAAAUAUUUUCAAUCCAGAGUUAUUUGAAUCUGCAGAUGCAGAAUCCAUUCACACAAAGGGGUGACUAUUUGUUAGGAAAACAGAUUAAAAGUCAGGAAUCCUAGAUUUUAGACUCGACGUUGCCGCUGUCUUGCUUUCUUACCUAAGUGAAAUCCUUUAACCCCUCUGAACCAGUUUUGCCAGUUGUAAAAAAAUAAAAGAAUAAUGGUCUCUAACAUUGUUUUGAUGAUCUUUGUGAAAUAAAGUAUGUCAGAGUAGUUCUUAAAAGUGUAAAGUGUUAUGUGUUUUAUGCUUAAGACAAGAUAUAAAUGCAGCAAGGAGAUCGUAUGAAUGCUGGAG
rnacentral:lncRNA from 1 species